rnacentral:rRNA from 1 species
GAUGAACGCUGGCGGCGUGCCUAAUACAUGCAAGUCGAGCGAACAGACGAGGAGCUUGCUCCUCUGACGUUAGCUGCGGACGGGUGAGUAACACCUGUAUAACCUCCCUAUACGACUGGGAUAACUUCGGGAAACCGGAGCUAAUACCGCCUAAUCUAUUGCCCCGCAUGGUUCAAUAGUGAAAGACGGUUUUGCUGUCACUUAUAUAUGGAUCCGCGCCGCAUUAGCUAGUUGGUAAGGUAACGGCUUACCAGGGCGACGAUGCGUAGCCGACCUGAGAGGGUGAUAGGACACACUGGGACUGAGACACGGUGAAGAGUCCAAUGGGAGGAAGAAGGAGGGAGUCAUCGGCAAUGGGCGAAAGACUGACGGAGCAACGGGGCGUGAGGGAUGAGGGGCUUCGGAUCGUAAGACUCUGUUAGUAGGGAAGAACAAAUGUGUAAGUAAGUAUGCACGUCUUGAGGGUACCUAAUCAGAAAGCCACGGAUAACUACGUG